rnacentral:rRNA from 1 species
GACGAACGCUGGCGGCGUGCUUAACACAUGCAAGUCGAACGGAAAGGCCCUGCUUGCAGGGUACUCGAGUGGCGAACGGGUGAGUAACACGUGGGUGAUCUGCCCUUCACUUCGGGAUACGCCUGGGAAACUGGGUCUAAUACCGGAUAGGAGCCAUUUUUAGUGUGAUGGUUGGAAAGUUUUUUCGGUGUAGGAUGAGCUCGCGGCCUAUCAGCUUGUUGGUGGGGUAAUGGCCUACCAAGGCGGCGACGGGUAGCCGGCCUGAGAGGGUGGACGGCCACAUUGGGACUGAGAGACGGCCCAGACUCCUACGGGAGGCAGCAGUGGGGAAUAUUGCACAAUGGGCGCAAGCCUGAUGCAGCGACGCCGCGUGGGGGAUGACGGCCUUCGGGGUGUAAACGCCUUGCGCUAGGGACGAAGCUUUUUGUGACGGUACCUAGAUAAGAAGCACCGGCUAACUACGUG